AGUGAACGCUGGCGGUAGGCCUAACACAUGCAAGUCGAACGGCAGCACAGGAGAGCUUGCUCUCUGGGUGGCGAGUGGCGGACGGGUGAGGAAUACAUCGGAAUCUACUUUUUCGUGGGGGAUAACGUAGGGAAACUUACGCUAAUACCGCAUACGACCUACGGGUGAAAGCAGGGGAUCUUCGGACCUUGCGCGAUUGAAUGAGCCGAUAUCGGAUUAGCUAGUUGGCGGGGUAAAGGCCCACCAAGGCGACGAUCCGUAGCUGGUCUGAGAGGAUGAUGAGCGACACGGGAACUGAGAAACGGUCCAGACUCCUACGGGAGGCAGCAGUGGGGAAUAUUGGACAAUGGGCGAAAGCCUGAUCCAGCCAUACCGCGUGGGUGAAGAAGGCCUUCGGGUUGUAAUGCCCUUUUGUUGGGAAAGAAAUCCAGCUGGUUAAUACCCGGUUGGGAUGACGGUACCCAAAGAAUAAGCACCGGCUAACUUCGUGCCAGCCGCCGCCGUAA
rnacentral:rRNA from 1 species